rnacentral:rRNA from 1 species
UACGUAGGGUCCGAGCGUUGUCCGGAAUUACUGGGCGUAAAGAGCUCGUAGGUGGUUUGUCGCGUUGUUCGUGAAAACUCACAGCUCAACUGUGGGCGUGCGGGCGAUACGGGCAGACUGGAGUACUGCAGGGGAGACUGGAAUUCCUGGUGUAGCGGUGGAAUGCGCAGAUAUCAGGAGGAACACCUGCGGCGAAGGCGGGUUGCUGGGCCGACACUGACGCUGAUGCGCGAAAGCCAGGGGAGCGAACAGG